GACGAACGCUGGCGGCGUGCUUAACACAUGCAAGUCGAACGCUGAAGCUCAGCUUGCUGGGUGGUUGAGUGGCGAACGGGUGAGUAACACGUGAGUAACCUGCCCUCUUCUUUGGGAUAACGCCCGGAAACGGGUGCUAAUACUGGAUAUUCACUGAUUCUCGCAUGGGGGUUGGUGGAAAGGUUUUUUCUGGUGGGGGAUGGGCUCGCGGCCUAUCAGCUUGUUGGUGGGGUGAUGGCCUACCAAGGCUUUGACGGGUAGCCGGCCUGAGAGGGUGACCGGUCACAUUGGGACUGAGAUACGGCCCAGACUCCUACGGGAGGCAGCAGUGGGGAAUAUUGCACAAUGGGCGAAAGCCUGAUGCAGCGACGCCGCGUGAGGGAUGGAGGCCUUCGGGUUGUAAACCUCUUUCGCUCAUGGUCAAGCCGCAGCUUUGGGUUGUGGUGAGGGUAGUGGGUAAAGAAGCGCCGGCUAACUACGUG
rnacentral:rRNA from 1 species